UGAUGUGCUCUUCCAGGAAGUCUUGAUAAUUACUCAGGUGUGAGCACUCAGGAUUUGUUGGCAGUCUGGGUGCGAGAAGAGUCCAGAAGUCUUUCCAAUAGCUUUUAAAAAAUAUUUUGGGAUUGUGCAUAUUUAUUUUGUCAACGACCAAGUGGUCAAGAGCUGGCCCUGAACUCGAAGCAGUGUAAAUUCAGAUGCAUAGAUUAAACCAAGGAAUCCUCUUUUAAAGAAGCAUUCUCUACGCCCUGACUGGUUAGUCUUCUCUACACUCUGAUACUACUACCCUGGUGUGACCUGAGGCUCAGCCGACGUCAUGGCUAUCUCUCCUACCGUAACCCUCCACCUGGACGAUGGUGUGGUGCGCGGUCUGGACCUGCAGUCCUGUGCUCUCCAGCUGUGUAAAGGACAUGGUCACUGUGUGGCUCAGGGACAGGCCACCACCUGUGAGUGUAUCCUGGGGUACAGAGGAGAGUUCUGCCAUGAGAGUGUCAAUGAGGCAAUCGGUGUUCCGCUCACCCUGGGGGUAGUGGCCUUUAUCGUUGGCAUCCUCAUCCUCUCCUUCCUCAUUGCGUUCAUCAGGCAGAGGGUCAAGGUCAAAAGGAAAGCUGCAGCCAAGGAUUCAAGUGGUUUAGAAAAAGACAUUCUGUAGCAUCAAGGUUUGGUUGACGGUCCAACAUCCGAGCACAUCCCCUUCAUCAGGCUUUAUCCCCGGUAGAAACAAUUAUAUACUGUAGUACUAUUUAUAUAAACAACUAUUUACUGUAGUACUCUUCAUAUGAACUACAUGUGUUAGUGUUAACUACCAUAGCACUACUAUGCUGUAGUACUCUUCAUAUGAACUACAUGUGUUAGUGUUAACUACCAUAGCACUACUAUGCUGUGGUACUAAUAGACAUCCAUAUAUGUUGGGACGACUCGUGAAAAGUAAGGACUGUUUUUGGCGAUAGCUGUGUUCGAAUACUAACAAACUGUAUACUACAUACUUAAUAAGUGUAUAUUACAUACUAUAUACUGUUUGUUGAUUUUUAGUAUACUGUAAAUGACCGGCAUCCUUUCAGUUGAUUGUACUAGCGCUUUGCCUGUCUAUCUGUAGUUGAUGCUGUUGCUAUGCAACUUCUUGUUAGCAUAGCUAACAAAUUAAUAGCUAGACGUUUUAUGACUUCAUUGAGAACCCACAACGGCUAUACCACUUAGCUAAGCCAAGAAUAAUCAAGCCAAUAAAUGUUGGGUAGUUAGCAUAUAGUUAAUAUACUGGCAAGUUUGUAUUAGUAACUAGCUAACAUGCAGUACCUACAAGCAACUGCUGUAAUGAUACGUUAUGCAGUUCUAUGCUAACAAACUGUCAGCGAACGUAACGUGACUUAUUUGAAAAGUCGUUACUCCAGAGUGGUGCAGCGGUCUAAGGCACUGCAUCUCAGUGCUAACGGUGUCACUACAGACCCUGGUUCGAUUCCAGGCUGUAUCACAACCGACCGUGAUUAGGAGUCCCAUAGGGCGGCGCACAAUUGGCCCAGGGUCGUUAGGGUUUGGCCGGGGUAGGCCGUCAUUUAAAAAAAUAAUUUGUUCUCAACUGAUUUGCCUAGUUAAACCCCAAUAUUAAAGGUUACAUAAAAAUUACAUUUCUCAACAAUUUCCUUCCGUUUGAGCCUGGCCUGACUGGCUUACCUCCUUUAGAGCCUGACUGGCUUACCCCCUUUAGAGCCUGACUGGCUUACCCCCUUUAGAGCCUGACUGGCUUACCCCCUUUAGAGCCUGACUGGCUUACCCCUUUAGAGCCUGACUGGCUUACCCCCUUUAGAGCCUGACUGGCUUACCCCCUUUAGAGCCUGACUGGCUUACCCCCUUUAGAGCCUGACUGGCUUACCACCUUUAGAGCCUGACUGGCUUACCCCCUUUAGAGCCUGACUGGCUUACCACCUUUAGAGCCUGACUGUUAGUGUUGUCUGACUCAGGACAAGUGAUUGAAAGAGAAGUGAUUGAAAGACACACCUAAGCAGUGGAAACAUUUAACACGUUUUCUCCAAAACAUGACAGGAAUUUCAACGCUGGUAAACCAGUCAGUCCAACAGUGUUUUUCAUUGGCAACAGAAAACAUCCGCUGGGGAUUGAGGUUUGAAAAUAAACACUGUUCUAUACAGGCUGUAGUGUUCGUCAAAACAGGUUUCGUCUUGCAUGCUUAGGAUUGCAUGACUGUCCCUAUUGUGCUGCUGAGUGCCUUAGAUCAAAGUGAAGUUUACUGUCCAACAUCAGAGCUUGGCCUUUUCAUUGGCUCCAUCCCUGGUACAUGUAUAAAUAACUAUAUAUUGUAGUACUAUUCAUAUAAACAACUAAAUAAUUAUAUACGUGACUACUGUAUACAGUAUACUGAAGUACUAUUCAUAUAAACAACUAUAUACUGUAGUACUAUUCUAGUACUACUAGUGUUAACUACUAUACAAUAGGACUUGUUAUAUAAACAAAUAUGCUGUGGUACUAAUAUAAAACCACAUGGUGGGACUACUCGUAUAAAGGACUGGUUUGUUUUUGGUUACGUCUUUAUACUGACUAACUUUAUACUUUUUUUCUGGGAAACCAAAGCCUCGACGAGCAGCAGCUUUUCUCACACUGAUCCUGGCCUGUCUAGUUUAUAUGGUGAUACAUGCUGUUAUGACUGAUUAGUGUGGUGAUGCACUCUGUUGCCUGACUGGUUUGUGCUGCUUGUGGCUGUGUUGCCUGACUGUUGCCUGACUGGUUUGUGCUGCUUGUGGCUGUGUUGCCUGACUGUUGCCUGACUGGUUUGUGUUGCUUGUGGCUGUGUUGCUUGUGGUUUGUGUUAACACUAAGUCAGGCAACACAAAAUCAGUUAUCUCUGACUCAUUAGUGACUAAUAGACCUAAGCAAUGGCAACAUUCAGUUGCUCCAAAACAUGACAGGAAUUCCAACUGAGCUUUUCAUUGGCCACAAAAUAUACACUGUAUACAAGUCUGGUCCCCUCGCUAAUAUAAUUUUCUCUUGUAACUGUAAACUCAAGUGAGUUUGUCUUCAUUUCAAACUGCUCCAGUCUCUCUCCCUCUAGAGGUCGGUGAGAACAUAAUGGAAGCCUGUCCAGUCAUGGACCUUCGGAUCAUACAACCGCCUUGUUAAUUCCAUGUGGAUAAAAUGCUAUUAUGUUCUUGAAUAAUUAUUGUUGACGCAUUGCUAACAAAAUAUUUUAUCCAUUGUAUUUUUUUAAGCUUUGUUCUUGUAUCUGAAUUUUGGAUAUGCUUAAACCUGGGCAAAUUCACAUUAAAACACUGUUUACUUCUGUGUGA